AGAGUUUGAUCCUGGCUCAGGACGAACGCUGGCGGUGUGCUUCACACAUGCAAGUCGAGCGAAUGAAGAAGGUAGCUUGCUACUUUUGGAUUUAGCGGCGGACGGGUGAGUAAUAUAUAGGAAUCUGCCCUAGAGCGGGGAACAACAGACCGAAAGGUUUGCUAAUGCCCCAUAGGUACGCAGUCUUCGGAUUGUUUAUUAAAGGAGUAAUCCACUCUAGGAUGAGCCUGUAUCCGAUUAGCUAGUUGGCGGGGUAAAGGCCCACCAAGGCUACGAUCGGUAGUUGGUCUGAGAGGAUGAUCAGCCACAAUGGGACUGAGACACGACCCAUACUCCUACGGGAGGCAGCAGUGGGGAAUUUUACACAAUGGGGGAAACCCUGAUGUAGCGACACCGCGUGAACGAAGAAGCCUUUUGGGGUGUAAAGUUCUGUCGGCUGGAACGAAAAAAAUGACGGUACCAGCAAAGGAAGCAUCGGCUAACUACGUGCCAGCAGCCGCGGUAAGACGUAGGAUGCAAGCGUUGUCCGGAUUUAUUGGGCGUAAAGAGUUCGUAGGCGGUUAUUUAAGUCUGAUGUUAAAUACUGUGGCCCAACCACAGAACUGCAUUGGAUACUGGAUGACUUGAGUGCGGUAGAGGCAAGUGGAAUUCCCAGUGUAGCGGUGAAAUGCGUAG
rnacentral:rRNA from 1 species